UCAGCAUCCCCCUAUUUUUAACUCGAUUGCAAAUGAUAUUUGUGAUCAAAGGGCCAGAACCCCUGGAGGAGCUUAGGCGAACAGCGUGGUGGCCGCAAUUCUUCCUGAUGAUUUGUAAGCAGGAAAGGACUCCUGACAUGAAAGACAGCUUAAACAGCACAAGAAUAGCAAUAAACCAGCUGUAAAAUGUUUAACAUUGCCCUUGAACUAAUGCAAAUUGUUCCAAACCAUUUUCUUUUCUUUUUAUUAUUUUUUUCCUUUUCUUUUUUCCUUUUUGCAGUCUCUGGAUGCCCUGCUGGGACUUUUAAACAGUCACAUGCUCACCAUACAAAAGCCUACAUAAGUGGGGAAAUACAGUGCACUAAUGUGUUUAGAAUAAGGGAACCAAACAACGUCCACAAGUCAGAUCUGCUGCCUUCCUUUCUUUUGUUCGAGGAAGUGUUCAUUAAUGACAAGCAUGUUUACUGACUGAGCCUCUAGACAGAAAUGUUGAAAGGUGAGCAGCAGGCAGAGAGAGCUGUACAUCCACAGUCAUAAAUGGAUGAGGUAUUUCUCUGUCUAACGAUGACAGCACAUGCCCUGUACUGUGUGGGAACCUCUUCAACUCUUAUUUCUGGUGAUGCUGUAAACAAUCGCCAACUAUAGAAAGGACAUGGGUCUUGGAAUUCUUUAAACUAGCAUUGUUUGAGGUCCUGUACUCAACCACAAAGUAAAGCAUCUAAAAUGUUUUCAGCUCUCAAAUAUGAUGACCAUGAAAUACAGUUGGUUAACAUUUUACGUUAAGAAUCAACAUUAGUGUUUCUUUAAUUUAAAUUACCUCAUGCUCAGUAAAAACAUUCUAUUGUUCUAUUUUAU